ensembl:lncRNA
CCUCGGUUGCGCACGCGCCGUCUCCAUAAAAUGCAAAAGGUCGUUAUUAAUUGGAUGGAACAUGAAGAUAUUCACAUCAGAUAUUACGAGUGCUUUUCCAAGGAAUUAAAGCCGUGCGUGUGUACAGACUAUAGGUGUGCGUGCGUAUACAAUAGUAAAAACACUUGUUAACUUGUAUGCCAUAGCUGUUGCAUUCCAAAGUGACACGUCACAGUCCUCCACCAAUCACACAUUUCUGUCCGUUGCCAGGGCAGAUUGUGUAAGAAUGUGACGCGCGCUGUUAACCCCGCGGAUGCACGAGGGUAAAAAGGGGACGUCUCUAUCAUUUAUUGACCACGUGGAAAAUGUGUUACACAUUAUAAAUUAAAUAGUGUAUAAAUUAAAAGUAUUAAAUAUGCGUUACACAUUAUUAUAUAUUAGAUAUACUAUAUGGGAAAUAUGUUUUACAAAUGAUUAGACAGUAAAUUAAAUAUCUCGAAACACAACGUUGUUAGUCAGCAGGACGCCACUGUUGAGUAAACGGCCUCUCUCCUCAAGAGCAGAAAGAAAAAGAGAGGGAGAGAUUAGUAGAGCUAGGUGAACAAUGGCUUCUAUUUUCAUUGCUGCCCUCUAGUUGUCCGAGUCAAAUGAGCAACAGUGCUCACUGUUACCCUGGCAACCAACCCUUACUAACAAGACCCAUACCAUGAGGAGAGGGGAGAGCUAGACAGACAGAUUUCAGUCUUUGUUGUCUGAGAUUGUACAUGUAUACGAUGUCAAUCGUUAGCAUGUCCAAUAAUCCUCCUGCUAACCUCAAUGUUAGCAGCAUACACGCUAGCAGCAUUACCGAACAGUCUACCCGGCAUGCUAUGAGGACCCUCAGGGUAAAACCCCAGGGUAGAACAUCCUAUACUAAACACAACCACCAUGUGGCUGUACACUCGAUGGAGCUGAAUCACACCAGCACACUGCUGACUGAGUAGUUGAGGUCUCAGUGACGCCAGCCAGCAUGGCCUUCUGCCUGACAACAACCCAGCAUGGAGCCGAGGGAAGAGGGAGGGAGGUGGUAUGUCCAAAAUAAACCCAAGAUGAAUGACAGACAGCUGGCAGCGAACCUCCAGAUAAGACCAAAUUACAACGUUUCACUUCUUCCAGUUCACCAGACCCUCUAGUUGACAAGAACUCGGCCUCUACCUAACCAGACCGUCCAGUUGACCGGACCUAACAAGUUGACCAGACCCUCCUGUUUACCAGAACCUCCAGUGUACCUGGCACCGUUGCAGGUGGGGGAACUAGAUCCUGAUGGGAGAAGGUCCACCACCGUUUCACACGGUGUCCAGUGUCUGCCAUGUUGAAUGAGGAGACUGGACGGUGUUCUCUUACUGCCCCCCUCCCACAACCAGGCAUACAGACAGCCCACUCAUGAGGACGGGAUAGCUAGCACAAUAGCAGUCCGGCUAACGUGAGCCUUCUGACUGAUAGAGGAUGUGUUGCUGGAGCAAUGCCAACAGAAAGAGCCUAGCCAAGCGCUUGAAAAUUCCAUCUCCAAUGCCAACAGAGAUUACAUCAUCCUUCCCAGAAGGGAGUGGUUUAUUCUGGGAGAAGACGAAGAGAUGUCGAGAACAGCCUUGAGGGAGAGGGGAUACUUACAUACACACUCCGACAGAGAAACAGAAUCUCCGUCGAGAUCAGCCUGACUCAACGUUACCUAGAAUACACUUGGCUAGGGACCACAUGGCAGGGGGCCAGUCUCCCGCGCUUUGCUGGAUUCCGGAGGGUCGUUCCGUCUAAUCUCCAACCCGCUGCAAAUGCUCCACCGCGUGGCCAUGUUCGGUAUUAUAACGAGACUUAGUUUAAUAUGUUUUAACCUUCCGUUUUAGCUUUCCUACCUCAAGUACAUUAAACCAGUUUUAACAUACGAGAUUGGACUUCUGCAGUACAAAUGUGAUAUACUUAAUCAUAAUGGACUGUUCACUGAACAGUGCCAUGCCCAAGAAGGCUAGCCAGAGUCAAGCUAACCCAACUACACUCCGUUGGGCAUUAACCUUGGCUUUUAUAUUUACAAUUUACCGUCCCUACGCCACUGCAUGAAAACAUAAGAAAAACACUGCAGUGGUGUUCAAAC